UUCUUUGUUUCUCUCUUUGCUUCUGUCUGUAGGCGAGUUCUGCUGGCUACUGCUGUCGCUGCUGCCAGAGCGGCGGCGCCUCCUGCCUUUUAUCAGGACGCUGCGAUACACCUGCGGGGACACAGGUGGAGUUUGGACAUGACUGCUGUCUUUCGAGGAGAAUGGCUCCCAGGCUGCGUUCAUUUAACAUUAAACAUUACUUUUAGAAGCCGUCCAUUCCUAAUAUGGAACUAAGGCAUUUAAUAAACCGGAUACUGCCCCGUUGAACACGAACUGUACUCACAUGGCUCUUGGCUUGUGGUUGUGUCCGAUAGCAUCGCAUGAUGUUCUGAAAUGAUCUGUCCUCCUUAGUAACCUAAGAGGAGAUGAACAGAAAAGAGCCUUAAAGCAAACGGACACCUUUAAGUACCUGCCAGCCAAGUACAUAAUCUACUUCAAAGCUUGUGGUGGCUGUGGUGACAGUCUGCUCCUUUGCUAGCGAGAAGUUGCCUGAAUAAGAAAACUACUCUUCAGGGAUAGCCAUGAACAGAGCCGAGCACGCUGCCUUCUGGAUUUUCCCUGUACUGAUCAGCUUGUAGGGUCGAACUGAAAUUUGGACGUGAAAAGCCUCUCCUUCAGGGUAUAACAUCCGCUCUCUACAAUCCUGUCUGAUUAGGAAAGCUACGUAAGACAUGAAAAGAAGU